UUCCAUUCCAUAUAAGUUAAAAACCAGUGUGUUAAUUCAAUUGUUCUAUCAUAAUGUUUUAUAAAACAGAAAAACUUCCCCUCUGCUACAAUAACAGAUCCGUUUUCUAGGCCAUAAUGAUACAACAUGGAAGAGAGAAAUGUUUAAAUAUGAAUAAUCAUAACUAGGCCUAAAAUCAUACCUUGUCAAAGUUAAACAUCUGAAAUAUCAGUACUGGAAAAAUAACAUCCAAACUCUAGCAAGUCACCAUUCUCUGAACAGUUAAAACAAACACGUUCUAAUUCCCGUGUUUUUCUUUGCAAGCAUUAAUGUUGUAAAAAGUUAAAUUCCACAUAUAGCAGUUCUAAGUGUAUCUACAUAAUCCUAAUGAUAAACAAAUACUCUGAAAUUAUAAUAAUAUUAUUAUAGCUAAUGUUUACAUAAUAUUCAGUCAUUGUCAAGUAGUACUCAGCUAAGAACUUUACAACAUUUGAUCCUUAUAACAUCCCUAGCCUCCGAGGUAGGUGUUAUUAUUAACUCCAUUUCACAGAUGAAGAAACUGAGGUUGAAUGACUUGCUCAAGGUCACACAGUUUAGUGCCUAAGGCUAAAUUUGAACUCUUCUUGACUCCAGACCCAGCACUCUACCCACUGUGCCACCUAGCUGCCUAGAAAUUGAAUAAAAUGAUGCAUAAUUUCAGUAUGUUUUCAUCUGGGUUAUAGAAAAAGAUUCUUUACACUAUGAAGAUGCUUUCCCUAGCUAUAUUAGUGCUGGUUGGGACUGCCAUUUUAGUUUAUCUACUAUCUCACAGACAAGCCUCUUCUACUAUCAUUCAACUUGCAACAACCCCACCCUGCCCUUCUCUAAUCCUUUGUUUUCUAAUUUCUCCACAUGCUUCCCUACCAUUUGCACAGAUACAAUUGAAAGGAAGACCUACUCACUUAACUGUUUUGUAAUCAUCAAUGACAUAGAAGCCCAAAACUAUAAAGAAAAAUAGACUCUGUUGAACGUAUGAAGACCAAAUGACAAUUGUUCCCUUCUCUCAUUC
rnacentral:lncRNA from 1 species